ACUGGACUGUAAACACAGAUGCUGUGUAUAUGAGAGGUCAGAGCUGACUGAGCUUCCUCAGGAGGCUCAGAUCUUUCAAUGUCUGCAGAAAUAUGUUGCAGAUGUUUUUUCACUCGGUGGUCUCCAGCGUUAUCUUCUACGCUAUACGGUCAGGUGUCGGC